UUCAGCGGGGAGGAAGGCGAGGAGUUAAUAACCUUAUCGAUUGACGUUACCCGCAGAAGAAGCACCGACUAAAUGCACCAGCAGCCGGUAAUACGGAGGGUGCCCGUUAAUCGGAAUUACUGGGCGUAAAGCGCACGCAGGCGGUCUGUUAAGUCAGAUGUGAAAUCCCCGGGCUUAACCUGGGAACUGCAUUUGAAACUGGCAGGCUUGAGUCUUGUAGAGGGGGGUAGAAUUCCAGGUGUAGCGGUGAAAUGCGUAGAGAUCUGGAGAAUACCGGUGGCGAAGGCGGCCCCCUGGACAAAGACUGACGCUCAGGUGCGAAAGCGUGGGGAGCAAACAGUUUAGAUACCCUGGUAGUCCACGCCGUAAACGAUGUCGACUUGGAGGUUGUUCCCUUGAGGAGUGGCUUCCGGAGCGUAACGCGUUAAGUCGACCGCCUGGGGAGUACGGCCGCAAUGGUUAAAACUCAAAUGCAAUUGGACGGGGAUCAACAAGCGGUGGAGCAUGUGGUUUAAUUCGAGUGGCACACGCGAAGAACCUUACCUACUCUUGACAUCCACGGAACUUGGCAGAGAUGCAGUUAGUGCCUUCGGGAACCGUGAGACAGGUGCUGCAUGGCUGUCGUCAGCUCGUGUUGUGUAAUGUUGGGUUAAGUCCCGCAACGAGCGCAACCCUUAUCCUUUGUUGCCAGCGAUUCGGUCGGGAACUCAAAGGAGACUGCCGGUGAUAAUAUCCGGAGGAAGGUCGGGGAUGACGUCAAGUCAUCAUGGCCCUUACGAGUAGGGCUACACACGUGCUACAAUGGCGCAUACAAAGAGAAGCGACCUCAGCGAGAGCAAGCCGGACCUCACAAAGGAUUUCCGUCCGGAUCGGAGUCUUCGGCAACUAGCGUACUUUCCGCGGUGAAGUCGGAGAUCGCUAGUAAUUGUGAAUGCCACGGUGAAUACGUUCCCGUCUAUGCUUGUACACACCGCCCGUCACACCAUGGGAGUGGGUCAAAAGAAGUAGGUCAGCUUAACCUUCG
rnacentral:rRNA from 1 species